CAAAGAAGUCACACGCGGCCACAGCGAGCGCACGGAGGCUUCCCCGACAUUCAGCAGGGACAUGCCUUCAGUCGUGGGUGACAAGUGGAACUUUCUUUUUGGAUGUCUGCCUCAGUAGAAGAGAUCGUGGUUCAAGAACCUGGGCCCACAGACGAGUACCGCCAGGGCGUCACGAAUGAGCCUGGUCGCCCGCUCCCGUCUGUCCGCUACACCUGGAGAAGGCAGGAAAUGCAGUGUUUCCCUAACUGCUGUGGACAGGUCUAGUACAUCCGAAGACCGUGAAUCCGCCUUACUCCGCGAGUGAUUACGAUGAACAAGGUAGCGUCAGGACCUUUUGUCCCAGAAAAAGAAAGUCUGAGCCGGCUUUUGGGUCCCCACUGUGCUGAGCUUCAGUGCGCUUUGUUUACCACCUCUUGCUUCCUGG